AAUGCUGCAGGAACAUAAUGUACAGGGGAUAGGGGGUGGCCUUGAAGGAGAGAAGGAAGAGCCACUACCAUGGCAACAGUGAGACAAAAGGGGCCUGAGCCCAGGCCAAGAAAGUAACAUAAGUAAAUAUCUCAGACAAGCCCCUCUCUAGUUCACACAGAUAAAGGAAGGGAGGCAGGAAGUGCCUUCAGACUUGCAAGGUUCUGUUACUAUAGCUUUACAAUGCACGUAGUACUGACCCAAAUGGCACUGGUUUCCUAGCGUUGUCUACCUUGAGGGGCUGACACAUAGUGGACACUAGGAAGGGUGCUGCCAAUGAGAUCAUUCUCUUAUCCAACGUCUUUAAUGUUCUCAUUGGCAGCACUCCAUCUUCUCUGCUGCCGUCUUCUCUCCACUGUAGACCUGGGAAGAGGAGGACUAGCUGUGCUGGUUUUCCCUCUUCCAGCUUCCACUGUACCUCUCUUCCUCAGCAAAGAGGCAGGCAGCAGGACACAGCUGGAGCAGCAUUAUUUGUUAACCUUCAAAUCAUUUUGGCAAAUUUUUUUCUCCAUCUACUUCCCUUUGGAUUGGACCCUUUAUAUUUAUUUUGGUGCUUUUCAGUUGCCUCAUUGCCUUUCUGACCUAUAAAUUGAGACAGAGCUUCCAGGAAGUAUCUAAGCUUG